rnacentral:rRNA from 1 species
AGGACAAGAGAAGCUUGCUUCUUUUGGAAUCGAGUGGCAAACGGGUGAGUAACACGUAAACAACCUGCCUUCAGGAUGGGGACAACAGACGGAAACGACUGCUAAUACCGCAUGACACAUUGGGGUCGCAUGGCCCUGAUGUCAAAGAUUUAUCGCUGAAAGAUGGCCUCGCGUCUGAUUAGCUAGUUGGUGAGGUAACGGCCCACCAAGGCAACGAUCAGUAGGGGUUCUGAGAGGAAGGUCCCCACAUUGGAACUGAGACACGGUCCAAACUCC